CCUCUUCCCAUUCCGAACAGAGCAGUUAAGCCCACCAGCGCAGAUGGUACUGGGGUUAAACCCGGGAGAGUAUGUCGUUGCCAAUU
rnacentral:rRNA from 1 species